AUUGAACGCUGGCGGCAUGCUUUACACAUGCAAGUCGAACGGUAACAGGUUAAGCUGACGAGUGGCGAACGGGUGAGUAAUGCAUCGGAACGUGCCCGAUCGUGGGGGAUAACACUUCGAAAGAAGUGCUAAUACCGCAUACGAUCUGAGGAUGAAAGCGGGGGACCAUAAGGCCUCGCGCGAUCGGAGCGGCCGAUGUCAGAUUAGGUAGUUGGUGGGGUAAAGGCUCACCAAGCCGACGAUCUGUAGCUGGUCUGAGAGGACGACCAGCCACACUGGGACUGAGACACGGCCCAGACUCCUACGGGAGGCAGCAGUGGGGAAUUUUGGACAAUGGGCGCAAGCCUGAUCCAGCAAUGCCGCGUGCAGGAAGAAGGCCUUCGGGUUGUAAACUGCUUUUGUACGGAGCGAAAAGGCUCCCUCUAAUACAGGGGGCUUAUGGCGGUACCGUAAGAAUAAGCACCGGCUAACUACGUGCCAGCCGCCGCAGUAACAC
rnacentral:rRNA from 1 species